GCGGGCGUAAUUCAUCGGUAGAAUGCAAGCUUCCCAAGCUUGAUAGGUGGGUUCGACUCCCAUCGCCCGCUCCA
rnacentral:tRNA from 1 species